UCUUGGAGUCCAGCAUUACGAUACGAUUGGCUAGAAACGUAGAAACGAUGUGGGCAUGUUGAUCGGUUGUGUCCAGAUGUUUGACACACACUACACAAUUUGGGUUCACCGGUCUCCCCAACGUCCAUGUCAUUUCGAAUUCUCGUCGAUUAUGGUCGACCUUUAGGUUGUCUGAGGAGACUACGAUCAGGCACCAUCUCGAAAGCAGGCGGUGGAACUUCCUAGUUUGAGACAUCGGGCAAUACAGGAAAUUCGUUCCCCCAUAUACGUAAUAUUAACUACGUACGACCUAGGUGGAAGACCCGAACGAUGGCCGAUGUACUCCUGAACUCGGAAAGUCUUCAAGUCACGCGAAUACAAUUCUGCGUUCAUUGUUUGUGCCCUUCGACUAUUUACCGCCAUGGCCUUUCGGUACAUGUGCAUGGCCUCGAUCUGCUUAGCUUGUCUCAACCCCAUCUUAGGCAUCAACGUCACCAACCGAUAAAAUGUUGCCGAGAAUACAGCAGAAAUCAGGAGACGGUGUGUGCGCCUCAAUACAUAGUUGACUAUCUCUACGAGUUUAGUCGUCAUCUGCCCAUAUCGAAACCCCUUUAUCGUAACUUUGAGUCCAUUGCCAGUUCUCCAUGCUGCCCAACCAUGUUCGGAGAUUUGUUGGUAAAGAUGACAUCUGAGAUUCAAGCCUUGCAAACCUCUACCUGAAUCUUCUCGGUUCUAACUCAUGAGCUGCAUAUUGAAUUUGAGAUCACCAAUUUAAAAACAACAAAAAAUUUGAAAAGUAAUUUUUCAAAUAAAUACAAACAAUUUUUUUACUCAUGUUCACGAGUUCUUUUUUCCAAUCUUUAUUCUUGUAAUCUCUAUGAAAGUUUGCCGUGAUGUGUCGGAUGCAAUAAACAGACCUCCACGGGACCCCCGAUCGCUUUAUCGCAGCAAAUAAUCCUUUCGAUCUAUCUGAUAUAAGGCAAAUGUUAUCUUCUCUGACAAUAUGCCUCCGCAGAUUUGUGAGGAAAAAUUCCCAAGACUCGAAGCACUCAUGCUCCACGAUGGCGAAAGCGAUCAGAAGUACAUUUCGAUUGUCGUCUUGUGCAACAGCAAUCAGGAGGAUUUGCGUGUAUUUGCCAUACAACCAUGUCCCGUCCACCUGCCCCAUCGGCUUGCAAUAAGGGAAUGCCCUAACACACGGCUCGAACGUCCAAAACAAUCGGUGAAAAACUCGUUUCUCCGGUUGUAUCUCCCCAUCAGGGCUUUUAUACGGUAGUGUUUGCAAAUCAAUCACUAUCCACGGCACAUACUCCUGUAUUCCAGCUAUCCACCCUUGAAGCUCGUUGUAUGACGCAUCCCAGUCACCGUACAACUCUCGCAUCGCCGUUUGCUUCACCCACCAUGCCUUUCGGUACGACACUUUGUACUUGAAUUGAGCUUGCAUAUCCGCAAUAGGGACCGAGACUUGAAUGUUGGGUGACUCUUUCACCAAAGGGAUGAUGCAGUUACAUAUAGUUUUUGCGUCUAAGUUUCUAUGGUCUUGCGACAUACAAGCGGACGUGCAUGUGUGUGGACCUUCUAGUUUCCUUAUCAUCCACAUCUGUGUCCGUUGCAUUAACAUGGCUCGGACACGCCAUUUACAACCACUCAACGCUUUCCAACAUUCUCCUGCGUACAAAGACUGCAUCGACUUCGUUACUUUAUAAUCCACCCCUAACUUCAAGCUAAGUUGUUUUAUAGCAUGUAAAUAGUCUUUUUUGUUAUCAAAUUGUUGCCCUACAAACAAUGCUUCUUCAUCAAAAUCAUUGUCAACUAUGUGAGUCGGCACAAUAUUUGUACUACACCAAAAUAGGCUUUUAGCGGCGUUUGGACAAAAAACGCUGCUAAAACUCGAGCAUUAGUGGCGCUUUACGUAAAACGCCGCUAAAGAUGAGGGUGGGGGAUUUAGCGGCGUUUUUAAAAAAGUACCGCUAAUACUCGGGGAAAUCGCCACUAAUGCUAGGGGAUUUAGCGGCGUUCUUAAAAAAGCGCCGCUAAUGCUAUAUUUUUAGCUCAUUUUACUUAAAAAAAUCCGGCCAUUUUAUCCCCAAAUUUCCCCUCCUAAAACCCCUAAUUUUCCAUCUCUCUCUCGCUUUCUCCCUCCCUAAUUUUCUUAUCUCGAUCUUCACACUUUCAAAGUGUUAGAAACGAGUAGAUCGGUUCUAGAAUUUGGGUGGGAAAAAAACGGGUGAGCACAAAGAGAAGCACGAGGAAUCACUGAUAGUGAAGCUAGCUGAGAAUAUUCACGGCCAUGAUUCUUCCUCUGAUUCUGACAACGAUAAGCCAUUAGAAUCGUCGACCAAGGCCAAAGUUUUCCGUCUCUUUGGGAGAGAAAGGUCCGUACACCACGUUUUUUGUGGAGGCAAAUUAUCGGAGUUUAGUGGGAGCUUCUUCAGCAUUGGACAUUCUACAAUAGAUAUUUCCAUCGGCUGUGGAAAAGGCAGAGGAUGGCAGUAUAAUGUCAAGGUUGGAAGAACUUGAGAAAGAAGAACUUCAGCUGAAGAUGAGUUGAGUAAAGCUACUGAAAGUGAUGGUGAUGAAGAUGAGCUGACUAAAGAUGGUUUUCAUAGAAAAAAAGAUGAAGGUUACAGUUAUCUUGAUCAUGGUCGAAGAUAUUGAGAGGUGUAUGAGUCUGAGUGAAGGAAACAACAAUAGCAGUCCGAAGGCAAAGAACCAAUUGAAGAGAUGUCCAAUAAAUAUAAGCAUCAAGAUUUAACUAACCAGUUUGCUGUAAGUGAUUAAAUCUUUGCAUGCCUUAUUUGUCUUUUAGCCUUUCUUUGAUAAUCCUUCCAACUUAUUGAUAAACGGAGCCUGAAGUCUGUAUAUUAGAAAUGCAGUCUACUGGAUUGACAGAGGAACCUGUUACCAAAGGUGAAAUUUCACAUGGUCGAAUUAUACAACAAGACACAAAGACUUCCAAGUCCUUCCAUAAAUGCAUCAACUCCUUUUGAAAAGGUAAGUAUGAAGCAGAACCAUCAUAAUGAAAUAAGGUAAUAUUUGAUCUCUGCUAUUUGGGAGAAGCAAAAAUAGAGAAAACCAACAUGAUGUACUCUCAAAUUCAAACAUUUUAUUAUAAAUUACAUGUAAUUUAAUGCUUAAUGGUAAUCGUGAACUUUGUUAACUGUGUGUCUUGCAUUAUUGGUUCAUUCAAGCAAUAUAUGUGUGACCUUGGUAAAUGGUUCUUACAAAAAUUGAAGUGAAAUUUUCAUCCAAGUGAAAAAUAUCUAGAAAUUAAGUACUUGAUGAAAAAUAUAAUCAAUUCAUGCAAGUAUAUGGCCACUGGACUUGCACCACAGCAUGGAAUUGGUUAAUCGAUUUAAUUAUUAUUUAUGUUCGUUAGUUGCAUUAUUCAACCUUCAAUUAGUAGCUGUCUGUAAGAUUUGAAAGGAAAAAAAAGAAAGAAAGUAGUAGAUGUAAGCAGUAAGUAGGUAUGAAAAAGUAAAUUGUGUUUUAUUGGGUGAAUGGCUCACAUGAUUAAAGAAAAACUUUUUAUUUAAAAAACUUUUUUAUUUUAUAUGUUAAUAUUUUUUUAGUUUUAAUUUGUACUAUUUUAAUCAAAUAAAUAUAAUUUUGAAUGUAAAAAACAUUAAAGAAAAUAAAAUCACCAUCGUUAUUAUUCUAAUAUUUUUCAAAUCAUGGUACAAAAGAGAAAAUAUCAGUUGUUCUCAGGUUAAUAAUUUAUAUUAUGUCUAUUACUUUUGGUUCUUCGAUUGUCAGUUCUCUAUAAACCGUAGAGGAAAUGUAAUUUAUUUUCUUGGUUAGAGGUUGCUCUUUACCUCUGCUAUGUCAUAAUGUUUUAUAAAUUGGAUAUAAGUGACUAUUUAAUCUUUGCAUUUUAAGGAGGAACUUAUCUGUUAUUUACUUUAGAAUUGUUUUUCUUCAGCUGAAAUAACCCUUGACAAAUGUGACAUUGAAUUCCUCACUUGUAUUAGAUUUGAUGAACUGGAGACAGCAUUGAUGGAGAUGGUUAAGCAGCACAAUCGACACCAAUUAUGUGCUAGGAUCCUAAUGCGAUUUGAGCAAGAUCAAAAGGAGUAAACAGGAAGAGGAGUGCACAAAAAUCUGAAACGUGCAGAGAAAGCUCGCAUUCUAGUUAGCAAAUUACCAUGUUGCUGAGAAGACUGCUUUUCUGCGGCCUAUAGAACUUAAACUUGUUCCUGUGCCUUGGAAGACUUUCAGCAGCAUGAUCCCAAAAUAGCUGCGGAAAAUCAAAAUUGUCAAGCAAAUUAGCCAAAUGCUGGUGAAUCACCUUGGACUAAAUUUGACCAAAGAUGAUCUACAAAAUGUGGUUGAUUUAAUGGAGCCAUAUGGUCAGAUAAGCAAUGGAAUAGAAUAUCUAAAUCCUCCCCUUGAUGUCAGUAACUAACUUGCUUGUCAUUUUAAAUAUGCAAGUCAAUUGCUAUUAAUAAUUUUCUGUUGGAUUCUUUUUGGACUGAAAAAUAAUUUCUGGGGAUAGUCUAAGAAUCUUAAAUUUUAUAGAAAGCCAAUAAAGUGCUUGCUGGACAAAAUGUGGUGAUUAAUUGAAUUGCAAGGUCAUACAUGCUAUAAAAUUUUUAAAAGCUGAUAAAUGAGUAUGA